CUUUUCAGACAACUCACAGUCCCUACUGAACCUCUCAUGCCUACUGGAACCUUCGCUUCGCAUAAUUCUUCCCACCAUAAUCAAAAUCAGUUCUUAAAAUUUGCGGAAGCGUGGAUUAUUGUGAUUAAUUCCCAAUUGUCUCUUUUCUUUACAGUCAAUAUCUCCAGCAAUGCCUCCCAUUCAAGGGAUUUCUUUUACAUGGCCCUCUCACAACCAGAGAUGCGACCAAACUCCACGAAGUCCAACAUCAUCUGAUCGUUUGUUCAGCUUUGAAGCCCCAGGGCCGAUACCGCAAAUGAUACUAUCGCCAAGUGAGAUGAGGGGCAAGUUACCUCUCAGAGUUAUGGUGGGACAGAGGGGGAAGGCAUUAAUUUCUGAACCCCUGGAGCACGAUAAUGCAAUCCAAGCGAAUAUUAGAAGCGAAAAAUCUUGGUUAGGAUAAUUGCUGCUCUCCGGAAAAAGCCAAGGCAGAAUUUCGAUAGCAGUUAUCCCCUCAGACGAAAUGGAGUACAUAGAAACGUGGGAAGGCAGCUGUUGUUGCGGAAAACCAUUAUUAGAAGCCAAGGCACCGAGGGAAAUGCGAAUGGGAUGAGACGAAAGCAAUAUAUUUUUCGGCCGUUAUAACACUUAGAUAUAAAAAUACUUAUAUUUAACGACAAGUCGCUCAUUCUAUUACGCAUCGACCUGCCUCUCUAGCUGCACCACCCACCGCUAUUAAACCAUAUAUAAUCUAUGGUUACCGGCAGCCUCAUUAUCUAGAUCUUUUAAACACCAGGGGGCUAGGUUAGGAUUAAGAUAAACUUAAGGGACAAGGGAUGGGAGGCGUGUCUAGCAAGAAGAUGUCGUUGCUUCCAAGGACUGGGAAAGACUCACCAUAUCGAGUAAAAUCCUGACGACUCCUGCAAAAUCGGGAUGCCAUGGCCUGUUAGUCGCGAGCAAUAUACAAAUGAAUGUGGAGGGAACAAUAUAGUUUGAAGGUAUACAAAAAAGGACCAGAAUUGCCAUUCAAUUAGGGAUAAAAAAUUGCUUGAGGAAUUGAUCAAACCCCACCUUUUACUAACUUUUUCCUCCUUCUGAGAUGCAUGGACAGAGCCGAAAACGCAAUAAUAUUAACUUAUUAACAACGAACAUGCUUGUCAUGGUUAUGUUGCAUGAUAUCCUGGAAAACCAAAAACAGACGAAUAUGAUCAAGGGUAGAACAAAUCUCUUGACCACCAUUGAUCGCCCUUGUUUUAUAAAAGAAAUUGGUCUAAGGAAGCUAAAAGAACCUCCACACUUCACAGUGGAAAUUCCCCUCACCACUCCAUUUGGCCCUGAUUUACUUCACCAUCCUUUGUAUUUGCUACAGCAGCAGUUGGGACCAUUAAUGGCGCCUUCCUCAGAUCUCCCCGCUUCAAAUAUCCCGUCCCAUCCAACCAUGGCGUUUCCAGUGACCGAGCAAUCUCAAACUUCUUUAUAUCCUCCUCCAUCUGCAUCGUGAGACCAAUAUCAUCCAGACCAUUAACAAGGCAAUGCUUUCUGAAUUGCUCAACAUCGAAGUCCGCCAGCUUUUUUCCCGAGGCGUCACUGAUACGUUGAUUGGGGAGGUCGACUUCUAGCUCGUGGCCAGCCAGCGCUUCCGCGUAUAUUUUUCUGUACACGGCGUCAUCGGUGAUGGCAAUGGGCAGCAUACCGUUUUUGAAUGUGUUGUUGAAGAAAAUGUCAGCGUAUGAGGGAGCGAUUAUGCAUUUUAUACCGAAAUCGAGGAGCGCCCAUGGAGCAUGCUCCCGGGAGCUACCGCACCCAAAGUUCACGCCUGCGACGAGGAUCUUGGCAUGGCGGUAUGGUUCUCGGUUGAGGAUGAAAUCAGGCCUCUCGGCACCGGCUUCGUCAAAUCUUAAGGAGUAGAAGAGGGCGCUUCCUAGACCGGUACGCUUGAUGGUUUUGAGGAAUUGUUUGGGGAUGAUGGCAUCUGUGUCCACAUUUGCGCGGUCCAGUGGAGCCGCAACACCUUUGAGAAUGGUAAACUUUGGCAGACCAGCUGAGGUAUGGCGUGUAGAGCUAUUAGUGUGCGGUUCAUCGUCUUCAGGGACGUCAAGGAUGCGCUCCAAGUCCUCCUCAGUAUCCAUCUCGUCAACGAUGGCCUCGAUAUCAACAUUUGGUAAGCCUCUCUUUUGAGUCAAUAUAUGGGCAGUAUCAAUUGUUCGGACAUCAGCAAGCUUGCCGACAAUGGCAGCUGCAGCGGCCAUCACGGGGGACAUAAGAUGGGUCCGCCCAUACGCCCCUUGUCGACCUUCGAAAUUUCGGUUAGAUGUACUCGCACAUCGUUCACGGGGAGAGAGAAUAUCUGGGUUCAUGCCGAGACACAUCGAACAACCAGCUUCUCUCCAUUCAAACCCAGCAUCAGUGAAGAUUUUGUCAAGGCCCUCAGCCUCUGCUUGUUGUUUGACCAGACCAGAGCCUGGGACAAUCAUUGCCCGCUUGAUGUUGGCGGCUACCCUCUUGCCCUGAACAAUGUGGGCAGCCGCACGCAGAUCUUCCAUACGGGAGUUGGUACAGGAUCCGAUGAAUACCUUGUCGAUGACGAUAUCUUGCAUUGGUGUCCCGGGGGUGAGUCCCAUGUAUUCCAAUGCGCGCCUUGCACUCGUCUUCUUAUCUUCAUCCGUAAAAUCAUCUGGACCGGGAACAACUCCAGUGAUUGGCACGACAUCUUGCGGGGACGUACCCCAAGACACGUUUGGGACGAUAUCCUUCGUGUCGAUGAAAACCUCCUUAUCAUAUAUAGCACCCACAUCAGACUUCAAGCUGGACCAAUACUUCACGGCCUUCUUCCACUCAGGACUAUCAUACUUUGGCGCCAAGGGCUUUCCCUUCAAGUAUUCCAAAGUAAUUUCAUCCGGUGCAACCAUGCCAGCCCGCGCACCAGCUUCGAUACUCAUGUUACAAAUGGACAUACGUGCCUCCAUGCUAAGACCUCUGAUCGCUGAACCGCAAAAUUCAAUGACAGCCCCAUUGCCACCAGCAGUUCCGAUCACACCAAUCACGUGGAGAAUUAUAUCCUUGCUACUAACACCGGGUGGAAGCUCACCAUCAACCUGAACACGCAUGUUUUUGCUGCGCUUGGUGAUGAGGGUCUGCGUGGCUAACACAUGUUCGACUUCGCUGGUGCCAAUUCCAAAUGCCAAGGCGCCAAAAGCGCCAUGUGUCGAUGUGUGGGAAUCACCACAGACGACAGUUGUGCCAGGAAGAGUGAAUCCUUGUUCCGGCCCGAUGACAUGCACAAUUCCCUGUCUCUUAUCUCCCAAUCCAAAGUAUGUGAGCCCGAAAUCCUUCACAUUUUCCUCAAGGGUCAUACAUUGUAGUCGCGAGUCAGCCUCUUGAACGAAAUUUUCGACAUUUUUAAAGGUCUUGCGAGAUGUGGUGGGGAUGUUCUGUAGCCAGAGGUGUUAGUGCAUCGUAAAAUAAAUUUGUGAGACUUGGGGCAUUGGUAACGAACGUGAUCUACCGUGGCCAGAGUACAAUCUGGCCUCCGUACUUUCCGUCCAGCAUUUUUUAGGCCUUCAAACGCUUGCUAUUCAACGAUAUAGUUAGAAAUACGUACUCUGUUAGGUGUAGUAAUAUCGAGUGAGGAACUUACAGGUGACGUGACUUCGUGGACAAGAUGCCUAUCUAUUGAACUUGUUAGCAUGUACGAGUCCACCAUGCAACAGUCAAGCGGGAACAAACCAAUAUAGAGCAAAAUUGUUCCGUCUUCCUGCUCUUUCACAAUAUGGUCCUGAAAGAUCUUGUCAUAAAGGGUCUUUGGUUUCUUAUCUGGGGCAGGCAUAUCUUGGCUGGUUAAAAUCGUGGAUAAGCUCGCUCAGCUCGCUUUUUGCUUUGUACUUUCAGAUACUAGAAGAGAUAUAUACCAGGGAAUGAGAUCAGGUUGAGCUGAAGAGAAAGAUGAAUCAGGAAUGUCGGAGCAGAAAACUGCGUACGCUCUGUAUAUAAAAGAUGCCGCAGAGGGGACAACGCCGAUGUCGGCGGUCAGCAGAUCGGGAAACAGUGUGAUUGGUCAGUUCCCGCACUGGUCAUCGGCUACGGAAUCGCCAUGGCAAAAUACCCA
rnacentral:sRNA from 2 species